rnacentral:lncRNA from 1 species
UAGAAACAAAGCUUGACAAAGUUUUCAUGGAAAACCACCAAGAUCCUCCUCAAUCUCCGACUCCUCAGUUUCUAACUCCUAUUGAUUUAGGGUUUGCAUUGGUGGUUGUUGCAUCCUUUCUUCCAUCAUUUGUUUUACCAUUCUUUGAGUCUCCUCCAUAGUGUUUCUCAAUUGAUCAAAUUAUGAUCUUCUUACCCAUUCAGUUGAUGAAGAACAUGAGCCAUGAUAUUGUUUAUUUGUAACAGUGAACUCCAAUCCCAACCCAUAUAUUCUACUCUUUUUCAUGCCAGCCACUUCACGCCACACAUCUAGCUCAUUUGGCGGAGN